rnacentral:rRNA from 1 species
AGUGGCGAACGGGCGAGUAACACGUGGGUAACCUACCAUAUAGACAGGGACAACAGUUGGAAACGACUGCUAAUACCUGAUAACAUAAGCUAUCGCAUGAUAGGUUAUGGAAAGGGGCGUAUGCCUCACUAUGUGAUGGACCCGCGGCGCAUUAGCUAGUUGGUGAGAUAAAAGCUCACCAAGGCGACGAUGCGUAGCCGACCUGAGAGGGUGAACGGCCACAUUGGGACUGAGACACGGCCCAGACUCCUACGGGAGGCAGCAGUAGGGAAUUUUCCACAAUGGGGGCAACCCUGAUGGAGCAAUGCCGCGUGAGAGAAGAAGGCCUUCGGGUUGUAAAUCUCUGUUGUAAGGGAAGAAAAUUGAUAAGAGGAAAUGCUUAUUAAGUGACGGUACCUUACCAGAAAGCCACGGCUAACUACGUGCCAGCAGCCGCGGUAAUACGUAGGUGGCGAGCGUUAUUCGGAAUUAUUGGGCGUAAAGAGCGCGUAGGCUGGUUAGUAAGUUAAAAGUGAAAUCCCNAAGCUCAACUUUGGAAUUGCUUUUAAAACUGCUAACCUAGAGAUUGAAAGANGAUAGAGGAAUUCCUAGUGUAGAGGUGAAAUUCGUAAAUAUUNNNAGGAA